GUGAAUCAUCAAAUUUUUGAACGCAAAUUGCGCCUUUUUCGGAAGGCAUGUCUGUUUGAGGGCACCAUUUAACAAAUAAUGUGCAUUUCGUGUGCACACGUUGAUGAGCUUUCCAAAUUUAUGUAUUUUUUUUGGUGGCCCAUAAAAAACAGCGCGAUGCUUUUUUUCAGUUCGGGUUUAGUAAAAUUUUUUCUUGCUCGGUUUGUGAAAAGCGUGAUCGCCCAAUGGUUUGGGCAUUUUUAGUUAAUCCUUGCCCCACCGCCACUC
rnacentral:misc_RNA from 1 species